rnacentral:lncRNA from 1 species
AUUUCCUAAGGGACUUUAAUUGUCCAAAAACAAGAAACCCAUACUUGAAACCCUAAAAGAAAAAUCAAAACAGUAAAAUAAACAUUGAGACUAAACCCAAAUUACUCUAAAAAUCUGAGAAAACCCAGCAGCUUCGCUCGUCUUGCAAUCAACACAUCUCGUCUACCACCAUCAUUCCAUCUUUUGUUGGUCUUACCAAUAUCGUCUGUGAUAAGUUCUUGUAGAAGUAAAAACCAUUAGAGUUUUUAAAUGAUUUAUUCCUCCAACCCAUUUCAUCUAUUGUUCAGUGGCCUUAUAUCCUUUUCGAGUAUCAUUUCCGCCCUAUGAGGGGCCUCCUCAAUCCAUACCCUUUGAUCUGGCCAUUUCUCACCCUUUUCAACCAUCUCAUGUGUUGCCUGGUUCGCCGAUCAUCCUACAAAAGAGCAUGUAAAAGUUUCAAAUCUACGCGUUCUUUCCUUUAUUUCAUGAACUAUCGCUACUAUGUUCGAUUUAUCCAACAUUGAUGCCCGAAUUUUUUUAUUACAGUUAAAGAAUCCCCUCCUACUGUCAGAUUUCAAAAGCUCAACUCCUCAGCCACCAUCACUGCUUGGAGGCACGCUUUCACCUCCGUCGUGGUAGCGUCUGUUAUAAAGGGGUUGUGGUAAGUACACAAUGCCAAAAUAAGUCCUUCACUAUAUCUGAACAUGAUUCCCAUAACUAAUUUAAGCAAAUAAUUGUUGUAAGCUGUGUCAAAAUUGUAUUUGAUCGUGUUUGCUCUUGGUCGUGACCACAUACCGUUAUAUAACCCUGCAAAUGUUGCUAUUUCUUUGACUAUACUGGUACUCUUUACCUUGUAUGCUUUUAUAAAUGUUAUUACCUACUUGUAUUCAUCUUUUUGCCUUGAUGGUGGAUUUUAUUUCUUUUCUACCAAAUCGCCCAUAAAGCAAUAGCUAAAUAUUCUCUUUGUUCUUCUUCCUUAUUGGUGAAAACAUUUGCUAAUCAGAUUUUCCAAUUUUGGCCAUGGGUGUUGGGAAAGGUAUCCAUCCCCACAACCUACAAAAGGCUUUUGGAAAUUAGACAUUCCUAGAAAAUAAAAUUCACUAAUUCCUCUAUUGAUUAACAAAAAAGACAAAUAGUCAUCGCUAUUAGCCUUCUGGCUUGUAAAUUGUUGAAAGUAGGAAUGUAAUUGUUUAUUACUUUCCAUAAUGUAAUUUUAAUCUUGCUUGUCAGUUGUAAAUUCCAUAGUCUAUUGUAAAAAUUCUAUAGAGUUGUUUGUGAUAGCGUUGCAUCCCUUGUUGUUGUAUCUUCUGUAAGUAACCACUUAUACCCAUUUUUUGAUGUGUACUCGCUUGUAUUGUCCCCCUACCAAACUCUAACGUUCAUGAUAUUGACACCUGCAACUAGGAUGGUCAUUAUCCUGUUUGUCUGGUAUUCGUCGAAUAACUUCUCGAGGACUUCCAACUGCCAGGUGGAAUUGUCUGAAUUGAUCAAAUCUACUACUGUUGUAAAGUUAACAUUAAUGCCUUGACCAGUAAUUUUUCCUUGCCUAGGUCUGUAACACCCUUUACUCGAUUUCGACGUCGGAACAGGAUACGAGGUGUUACCAGACUUGAACACAUACAUACAAACAUUUUCGAGUCAUAAAAUUUUGCUCGAUUUUAAAAAUUUUAAACUUCCUCUUAACAACCCCUAAUGUAGACCUAUGAGGCCCAAAAUACGCUUUGGAAAUGGUUUGAGAAUAAACUAAAUACUUUAGAAAACUUUAUAAAAUUUCAAAACAAACAGGGGCACACGCCUAUGUGGAAGGACGACACGCCCGUGAUUAUUCUUAACAUGGCCAUGUUGAGGGCAUGUGUGGCUCACACAGCCUGAACAUAUCGGGGCACGCCCAUGUCCCUAGCCCAUGUGAAUUUAUUUCUCGAUUCAAACCUACAGGGGUUUUCACAUGGCUUGGCGCAUGCCCGAGUCCAUGGCCCGUGUCCCCCCACACGGCCAUGAUACGAGUGUGUCUCAGCCCACGUACAAAAACCUUGACAUUUUUUUUGUGAUGUAGCAACCCUUUAGGGGCAUACGGCCAUGGUACACGCCCGACUACCAGGCCGUGUCCUCCACACGGUUCAGACACACGGCCGUGUCUUCGCCCGUGUGGUUACCACUAAGCAUUCUAUUUUGCCAAAUUUAGGUGCAGGGACACAAGGCUUGACUACACGCCCAUGGUGCAAACCGUGUGUCACACACGGUCUAGACACACGCCCGUGUGUCUACUCGUGUAGACAAAAACAAGGCUAUCUACCAAGCCUUUUUGCCACCUUUACUUGUUCCAACCUAUACAACAUCAAACAUAACCAAUCCAACCAUAAACACCCAUAACCAAAAUAGCCACAACCAUGAAAAUUUUCAUCGAAUGCAUUUAAUGGUAAUCAAUAUUAGCCAACAUCAAUGGCCUAUACAAAAUGAAUACCACAUCCAUAUGAGCCAACACAUGUGGCUAAACUAACAUGACACUAAACAAAACGAACUAGUCCCUAUACAUGCCAUACUCAAAACAUUUAAACUAACUAUACCAAAAGCUUCAGGUGAUAAUGUGAUCGAUGCCUCCUACGUCCCUUGAUUCUUGAUGCUAGUUUGGCGGCACUAUAAGAAAAUAGAAAAAAGAGGGAGUAAGCAUAAGGCUUAGUAAGUUACAAGUAAAUAAUCAACAUUGCGUUACCGAGUAACAUCAUACUCAUAACAUAUCAUACACUUGCACAAGAUUCUUGAAUGACUAUAGACAUGACUUACUCAUUUCAUCCUUACUAUUCAUAUAGAUAACCCGACCCAUUCUUAUGAGUUUUGUGUAGGUACCUAUACCACUUACAACAUAAUCAUAACUUUUCUCAAUCAUGAUAUAAUCUUUAAAUUACAUGUUGAGCCGGUUCAAAUAGUAAAUGGAUACCCGAUAAGCCUCAUACAAAAGGGUAAGAUGCCGAUGCCAUGUCCCAAACAUGGUCUUACACUAGCCCACAUGUAGAGGCCGAUGCCAUGUCCUAAACAUGGUCUUACACUAGCUCACCUAUCAAUGCUGAUGCCAUGUUCCAAACAUGGUCUUACACUGGCUCACAUAUCGAGGCUGAUGCCAUGUCCCAAACAUAGUCUUACACUAGCUCUCAUAUCAAUGCCAAAGCCAUGUUCCAAACAUGGUCUUACACUGGCUCACAUAUCGAGACCGAUGCCAUGUCCCAGACAUGUUCUUACACUAUCUCUCCUCUCAAUGUUGAUGCUAUGUUCCAAAUAUGGUCUUACACUGGCUCACAUAUCGAGGCCGAUGCCAUGUCCCAAACAUGGUCUUACACUAGCUCUCAUAUCAAUAUCGAUGUCAUGUUCCAAAUAUGGUCUUACACUGGCUCACAUAUCGAGGCCGAUGCCAUGUCCCGAACAUGGUCUUACACUGGCUCACAUAACCCUAGUAUCACGGCAUGGAUAUUCGAUCUAUUCCUACUGUUCAACAGGGAGUCUCACCACAUCAAAUUUCGUCAUGUAUAUUCGUAACAAAAUCAAGCAUUUCAUUCAAUGUCAAUAAUUUAAUGCAUAAUAACAAUAGUGUUGUACUAUUUACGUGCAGUUUACCUCGGUAUACAAAAAGUAGGCGACUAAUUGGAUUUAGUCUACUAGCUUGGCCUUCCCCCGAUCUAGGCCCGGAUUCGUAUUUCUUGGUCUAAAAUGAUAAAAAUUCACUAAUUUAAUAAUCAUAUUAAUCAAUGCAUUUCAUAAUUCAUAUUUUGGCAAAAUAAUCGUUUUGCCCCUAGACUUUUACAAAAUUAUGAUUUUACCCCUAGGCUCGUAAAUCGAUUUUUAUCAAAUUUCCUAUUUAUUCAAACCUAGGAGAACCUUUUAUUACACUUAUGGCAUCUCACAAUUUCGAUUAUUUCACACAAUUACUACCUAUUUUAUAACCUUUACAAAGAGGUCCAUUUUAGGUGUUUUUCAUGAACACCACUUCACAAGAGUUACUUAUUUCAUAACUAUAACUCAUUUUCUUCCAUAAAGUUUUAGUUUAUAACAUAAAUACUUUCAUGGCAAAACCCUAAACUCUCAACCAUUCCAUUAGCUAAAUUAAGCUACAAGGGUCCCAAAAGUACAAAAAUUAUCAAGAAAAGUCAUCAAAAUCGCUUACUUAUGAGAGAACUUAAUGGUUGAAAGCUUCAAGCUUUAAAUACCCUUUUCUUACUGAUAUUUUCGGUGGAGAAGAUGAAUGGUAAAAAUAUGGAGCCCUUUUGUUUUAUUUUAUCUUAUUUCUAGUCAAAAUAGCUCCAACUUCACCUAAUUUUGAAUUUUCUAUUCUUCUUUGUCUCUAUGGUCGGCCACCCCUAUUGAAAUGGGUCUAUUUGCCCUUUAAUGACUCCUAAUUAUGAUUCUCUAGUUAUUUAACACCAUUUGCUAGAAAAACAAAACUUUUGCCCUUUAUGCGAUUUAGUUCUUUUUGCAAUUAAGCUCACAAUCGCUAAAAUUAAUUCAUCUAAAUUUUCAUACAUCCAUGUAAACGUGCAAUAACACAUAAAAUACUAUUAAAAAUAAUUUUUCCAACCUCGAAUUAGUGGUUCCAAAACCACUGUUCCGACUAGGCCCAAAAUCGAGCUGUUACAAUUCUCCCCCUUAGGGAUUUUCGUCCCCAAAAAUUUUACCGUUAAAAAAGUUUAGGUAUUGGUAUCUCAUGGUCUCGUCGGGCUCUCAUGUGGCCUCUUCUGUCCUAUUUCUAUGCCAUAAUACCUUUACAAGUGCUAUACUGUUAUUCCUCAAUUGUUUAACCUCCCGAGCUAAAAUCUUAACCGGUUCUUCGCCAUAAGUCAUAUCUAACCGAAUCUCAAUCUCUGUUGGCGAAAGAACAUGCGAAGGGUCAGAACGGUAACGGCGCAACAUCGAGAUAUGAAAAACAUUGUGGAUCUUCUCUAACUCGGAUGGCAACACUAGUCGAUAAGUUACCGGUUCAAUUCUCUUAGUCACCUCAUAAGGUCCAAUAAAACGUGGACUUAAUUUUCUUUUCUUACCGAAUCUAAGGACUUUCUUCCACGGGGAUACUUUGAUUGUCACCGACUUGAAACUCAAUUUCUUUUCGUUUCAAAUCCGCGUAGGAUUUCCAUCUAUCAGAAGCGGCCUUCAAACAAUCACGAAUUACCUUUACUUUCUCUUCGGUCUCUUUGACUAAGUCAACCCCGUGAAUCUGAUUUUCUUUGAGUUCGGUCCAAAACAAAGGCGUUUGGCACUUACACCUGUAUAAAGCCUCAUAAGGCGCCAUUUUCAAACUCAACUGAUAGCUAUUGUUGUAGGCAAACUUUGCCAGUGGUAAAUACUUGUCCCAACUUCCUUGGAAUUUAAGGACACAACACCGCAACAUGUGUUCAAGAAUCUGAAUUACUCUUUUCGACUAACCGUCGAUUUACGGAUGGAAAACCGUGCUAAAAUUCAACUUUGUCCCCAAAGCUUCUUGUAACUUUUUCCAAAAUCGCGAGGUGAAUCUCGGAUCCCUAUCCAAAAUAAUCGACAAAGGUACUCCAUGAAGUCUCACAAUCUCAGAAAUAUACAACUCAACUAGCUUAUCGAGUGAGUACUCGGUACGUACUGGAAUAAAGUGAGCUGAUUUCGUUAAUUGAUCAACUAUGACCCAAACAACAUCUUUCUUUCUUGGUGAAAACGACAAUCCCAUCACAAAAUCCAUGGUAAUUCGAUCCCAUUUCCACUCGGAAACCAUCACAAGCUGAAGUAAACCCGAAGGUACUUGGUGUUCGACUUUCACUUGAUGACAAAUUAAACAUUUCGACAUAAAUUCUGAUAUGUCUCUUUUCAUACCCGGCCACCAAUACAAUCUCUUCAAGUCAUUAUACAUCUUCGUACUACCCAGAUAGAUUAACAUACAACUACUAUGUGCCUCGUGAAGAAUUUUCCCAAUAAGCUCAUCAUCUGGAACAUCAAACAACCAUCGAAACCAAUCUGAAAAUCUGAUUUAAUACCGACUCACAUUGAGCUCUCUUGGAUGUAUGUCACUGUUUUGAGCUUCACAGAUCUCUUGGAGAAAGGUUGAUCUAGCUCUCAACUCCGCUAGUAUCGAACCAUCAUCGGACACAGUCAACUGAGUAUUCAUAGGUCUCAAGGCAAAUAAGGAUUUCCUACUCAAGGCAUCGGCGACAACGUUCGCCUUCCCCGGGUGAUCGUCGAUCACCAGCUCGUAAUCUUUUAUGAGCUCUAGCCAUCUCCAUUGGCGAAGGUUUAAUUCUUUUUGAUUCAUCAAAUACUUUAGACUUUUAUGGUCGGUGAAUACUCGGUGUCUCUCACCAUACAAGUGGUGUAUCUAAAUCUUCAGUGCAAACACUAUGGCUGUUAACUCUAAGUCGUGUGUCGGAUAAUUUUUCUCAUGCGUCUUCAGUUGUCUCGAGGCAUAUGCUAUUACCUUGCCUUCUUGCAUAAGCAUGCAUCAAUCCAUUUAAAGAUGCAUCGCUAUACAUUACAAAUUCUUUUCCUAGUUUCGUUUGCACUAAAAUUGGGGUUUCAGUCAACAACUCCUUAAGUUUCUCGAAACUCUAUUGGCAUUUUUCCGUCCAAUCGAGCUUGACAUCUUUCUGUAGCAACCUCAUUAUUGGAGUAGCAAUCAUGGAGAAUCCUUUAAUGAAUCGUCUGUAGUAACCCGCUAAGCAUAGAAAGCUUCUAAUUUCCGACACAUCCCUCGGUGGUUUUCACUCAACAAUAGCUGAGAUCUUAUUCGGGUCAACUCUAAUUCCAUCACCAGACACGAUGUGUCCUAAGAAUCCGACCUCUCGGAGCUAAAAAUCACUUUUACCAAACUUGGCAUACAACUGCUUAUCUCUUAAAGUCUGCAAAAUAGUUCUCAAAUGCUCCGCAUGUUCACUCUCAUCACGAGAAUAGAUUAAUAUAUCAUCGAUAAAAACAAUAGCGAACUUAUCCAAGUACGGUCAGAGAAUACGUUCAUUAAGUCUAUAAACAUGACGGGAGCAUUUGUUGAGCCAAAGGGCAUGACAAGAAGCUUAUAGUGCCCGUACCUCGUCCGAAAUGCGGUUUUCGGUACAUUUUGCUCUUUAACUCUUAGCUGGUAAUAACCAGAUCUUAAGUCUAUCCUAGAAAACAUUGUGGCUCCUUUCAAUUGGUCAAACAGAUCAUCGAUACUUGGCAAAGGAUACUUGUUCUUCACAAUCACCUUGUUAAGCUGUCUGUAGUCUAUACAUAACCUCAUUGACCCAUCUUUCUUUUUCACAAAAAGUACCGGAGCACCUCACAGAGAAUAGCUCGGUCUCGCAAAAUCCUUAUCCGUUAACUCUUGUAGCUGAGCCUUCAACUCUUUUAACUCUAACGAUGCCAUCCUAUAUAGGGCAAUCAAUAUAGGCGUAGUACCAGGGACUAACUCGAUACCAAACACGACUUCCCUAGUUGGAGGCAGUCCGGGUAACUCUUCCGGAAACACAUCCGAAAACUCACCCGGAAACUCACAUACCACUGGAACUGACUCAAUCUUUACUUCUGACACUUUGGUAUUCAACACAAAUGCGAGAUAAGACUCAUACCCUUUUCUCAUAUAUUUCUUAGUCAUCAUUGAAGAAAUCACUCUAGAUAAGCUACCCGGUUCACCUGAUUCAGCUCGAAGAAUAUCCCCAUUUUCACAUUUCAAUUCAAUGAAUUUCUUUUCACAAUUUACUAUAACAUCAUGGGUAGACAACUAAUCCAUACCAAGGAUAACGUCAAAUUCAUCAAACGGCAAUAACAUGAGGUUAGCCGAGAAACAAUGACCUCUAAUUGUCAAGGGACAAUUUCUACAUACAUGGUCAACUAAUACAUACUUGUCUAAUGGGUUCAAAACCUUUACCACAAAUUUUAUAGACUCAACAGACAUAUUCAGGCUAGACACUAGUUUCACACAAGUAUACGAAUGGGUAGACCUCGAAUCAAUCAAAGUAAUAACAGAAAUAUCAUGAAAAGAAAAGGUACCCGUAAUCACAUUUGGAGACGAUGCUUUUUCGCGAGCGCAAAAGGCAUAAGUCCUUGCAGGUACCCAGCCCUCGGACCUCACAGUGGAAUCUCUAGGCGCACUUCAGUUGCUAGCGCCACUUUCAGGGCUCUUUUGUGGUCUUGUAACACCCUUAACCCGUACCCGUCGCCGGAGGGUUAAAGAGUAUUACCAUACAAGCAUGAAAUUCCAGAUAACUUUAUUUGAAUAACUUCCGUUGGCACACCUAUAAAAGAGUCAUCUCCAGGUAAUGGGUAUAUUGAAUCAUUCUUAAGUUCGAUUCACCUCAAACAUUGAAAACAUUAAUCGAAUAUCAACCAGAUAUUUACAUUAACUAUGUGGAAUACAUAUAGUAACUUAACAUGCCAUUUUCGCAUGGCUAUACAUAUAUACAUCAUUAAAAAGAUACAUAUUUAACAACAAAAAGUCAAGCCUAUACAUGCCAUUAUCAAAGUUUAACUACUAGAGUACCGAAUGAGCUUAGAUAGUGUGGAUGACUUCGACUUUGAGAUCCUCGAGACCGUAGCUAACGAACGAAAUCUAUAAAACAGAGAAUUAAGGGCAACAGAGUAAGCAUUUCUAUGCUUAGUAAGUUUUAAGCAUUUAAAACAAUUAAAAAACUUGUCAUUAAAAUCGAACAUUAAGCAUCACAAAAUUCAUAUUCAAAUUGUAAAUCAUUUAGCCGAUUAUACAUAAGAACACUAGUUAUAAUACCUAUUGGCCGAAUAUAUAUAUGAAUACUCAAGAGAUUUCCAGCACAUAUUUCACUAUACUAUUUGGCUCAUACAAUUAAAUUUAGGCAUAUACUUUCAUAUAACGAUGGUCGUCGACCGAAUAGGCCAUUCUCUUAUUCAUAGAUACGGUAAUCAUCCACACAUAUAUAUUUAUAUAUAUAUCAUUCAUUGAUAAUAAUAAUUCGCUUUAAAAAUCAAUUUACGUAUGAGAACAUAAUACGUACCUGGCCAUCUUAAUGUAUCAUACAUAAUCAAUAGUGGUUUCCUCAAAUAUUCGGAUUCAUAAUCUUACUCGAAUCACCGGCGUUAAGCUUGCUAGGUUUUAAAACCCGAAUCCAGUUACUAGCACAAAGCCUGUGGGACUUUAGGCUCGGAUAUAUUCUAGCACGUAGCCUGCGGACCUCAAGUCCGGAUAUGUUUCCAACAUGUAGCCUGCGGACCUCAACUCCGGAUAUGUUUCCAGCACGUAGCUUGUGGACCUCAAGUCCGGAUAUGUUUCCAAUUAUCAUGCAUUCUUAGUCAUAUUUGAACAUAUCUCAUUCGACUUAUCACUUUAGUAGUCAUUUGCAACAUUCAGAUAUAAGUUAAAUAUGCAUAUCAUCAUUCACUAUUCGGCUCAAGAGUCAUACAUAAUAUCACAUAUUUAUUUCACCAUUCAAGCUUAAACCCAAAGUGGCCAUUAGACUAUAAGUCAUAUACAUGAAUUAUUCAUCUCACAACCUAAUUUAAGUACAAACCAAAAGAUCGCAAUUCACCUAAUAUACUCGUAUAGAGGCAUCAUCAAUUAUAUAAUAAAGGAGACUACUCAAAACUUACCUCGGUUAUAUUUGAACAGUUACGGAUAGACUACUCGAUUGCUUUCUCUUUUCCCCUAUCUGAUUUCGACCCUUUUUGCUCUUGAGCUUGAUUUAAAACAAAUAGAUUUAUUCAAUUACUUAUCAAUUAAGCAAUUUAAGUUAAUACCUGUAUAUCAUAUAUUUAAGGUACAAAUGACCUUACUAACUAGCUAUUUAAACAUCAUACAUAUGCCCUAUUCAUUCACAAUCGAACAUAUUACUAGGCUACAAUCAACAACUACAUUUAUCCCCAUAUAAUAGAUUAAAACUAUCAAGGAACAUUUUACUAACUUAUUACCUUGCAUAUUCUAAUUUCAUAAACUAAUUUACGAAUUUCAUAAACUAAUUUACUAAAUCAAUGUAUAAUAAAUUUUAACUUAACAAUUCCAUAACCACACAUGAUGAUCAUAUCUACCAUUUUGGCCGAAUACUUAUAAGAUUAGCAUUUUGUAAGUUUUCAUACCACUUCCAAAGCCAAAUAUCAUUAUAAAUUAAAAUAUACUUUCACACAUCUAUACAAGCUUACAAAACCACAUUUGACUUCAUAUACCAUCAUCACUUAUUUAGCAGAAUAUGCAAGAUCAAACAUAUCUUUACAAAUAUAUAUAUAUACCUAUGUGGCCGAAUUUACAAGUUCAAUUGGAACACCACAUAAUUACUUACUUAUAUGACCGGAUAUACCAAAUUCAUUACAUCAUUACAUAAGUACAUACCUAUAAGACCGAAUAUACAAGGCUCAAUAUAUCAUCACAUAUGGCUAGUUAUUACUAAACUAAAGCCACCAUAUUUUUAUCCCUUAAGUCACACCCAAAAAUUACAUUCGGCAUUUCUCAUCCAAAAUUUUACAAAUCUUCAAAAUCACUUACAAGCUCAUUUAUAAAACAUAUAAAGCAUUAAAAUAAUUUUUUAUCAAAAAUCUAGCAUGACCGAUUACCUAUUUUUCUCCCAAAAUCCAAAUUCGGCAUACCCUAUAAACCAAAUACUAGCAUCAACUUUUAAGCUAAAAUAACAAGCAACUUAGCACAUUAAACAUAACUAACAUCUUCCCAAAAACUUAUCAAAAUAACACAAAAUUUAGCACUUGCCGAAUGGACACUUGUUCAUUGAUUCAUAAAUUUAAACCAUGGGUUAGCUAUGCUAUGUAUUUAUCAAUUUAAUUUCACAAUCAAUUUCAAAGAAAAUUUACAUUACAUACCUUUAAAUGGAGAUAACCAUGGCCGAAUUCCUUGGCUUCUUCUUCAAAAAUUUUCUUUCUCAAAUUCGGCAAAAUGAAAAAAGAAGAUGAACAUCCAUUAUUUUAUUUUAUUCAUCUAUAUUAUUAAACAUAAAGCCAUUUAACUAAUAAUUAAUACAUAUUUUAGUAUAAAAGUAUCAUCAUGGCCGGCCACUAUAAAAAAAAUGGAUAUUUGACAUGCAAGCCCAACCUUUUUAUAACAUGCUUUAAUAGGCCACUUUUAAAUUUACCUAUCACAUUUCAAAAUUUUCUCACAUAAGUCCUAUUUAAUAAAUUUCACAUACAAAUGACAAAAUUAAAGCAUGAAACUUUCACACAUGCAUGUACACAUACAAUAAGCAUAGAAUAUAAUGGUUAAUUAUUUUUAUGACUCGAUUUUAUGGUCCCGAAACCACUUUCCGACUAAGGUCAAAUUAGGGCUGUCACAACUCUCCCCCACAUAAAGAAUUUUCGUCCCCGAAAAUCUUACCGGUGAAUAAGUUAGGAUAUCGAUCCUUCAUAGAGUCUUCCUGUUCCCAAAUAGCUUCUUCAACCCCAUGUUUAAUCCACAGUACCUUCACUAAUGAGAUUUUAUUAUUUUGUAGUUCUUUUACUUCACGAGCCAAAAUACGAACUAGUUCUUCUUCAUAGCUCAAAUCGGAAUGAAUCUCAACCUCAGAUGGAUUAAUUAUAUGCGAUGGAUCGGAUCUAUAACGUCGAAGCAUCGAAACAUGAAAACAUUGUGAAUCUUUUCAAGCUCAGGGGGUAAAAUCAAUCUGUACGCAAUCGGCCCAACUCGUUCGGAUAUUUCAUACGGCCCGAUGAACCUCGGACUCAAUUUGCCCUUACGACCAAAUCUGAGCACCUUUUUCCAAGGGGAAACCUUAAGAAACACUUUGUCUCCGACCUGAUAUUCAAUGUCUUUUCGUUUUAAAUCCGCAUACGACUUCUGACGAUCUGAAGCUGCUUUCAGACUUUCAUGGAUCACUUUUACUUUUUGCUCAGCAUCUUUAAUCAAAUCAAGCCCGAAGAUUUUAUUUUCACUAAGCGCGGUCCAAAACAACGGUGUACGGCAUUUACGACCGUACAACGCCUCGUAAGGUGCCAUCUUAAUGCUUGAUUGAAAACUAUUUUUGUAAGCGAAUUCAAUCAAAGACAAAUACUGUUCCCAUGAACCACUAAACUCAAGGAUGCAACAUCUCAAUAUAUCCUCGAGUAUCUGAAUGAUCCGCUCGGAUUGACCAUCAGUCUGGGGAUGAAAAGCGGUGCUAAAAUGCAACUUGGUACCCAAUGCUUCUUGUAAUUUCUUCCAGAAUCGCGAUGUGAAUCUCGGAUCUCUAUCCGACACAAUAGAAAUAGGUACCCCGUGUAACCUCACAAUCUGAGAAACAUACAACUCGGCUAACUUGUCAAGUGAAUAAUCCGUACGUACGGGAAUAAAAUAAGCCGACUUUGUCAAUCUAUCAACAACAACCCAGAUCGCAUCUUUCUUGCUUGAUGAUAAUGGCAACCCAGAUACAAAAUCCAUCGUGACUCGAUCCCAUUUCCAUUCAGGUAUCAUGAUCGGCUGAAGUAAUCCCGAAGGCACUUGAUGUUCUGAUUUCACUUGUUGACAUAUCAAACACUUUGAAACAAAGUCAGAAAUGUCUCGUUUCAUACCAGACCACCAAAAUUGAUGUUUCAGAUCGUUGUACAUUUUCGUGCUACCAAGAUGGACCGAAAUUCAGCCAUUAUGAGCUUCAUUCAAAAUCAUCGAAAUAAGUUCUGAUUUUCUUGGAACACACAAUCGACUUCUGAACCUCAAACAAUCAUUGUCAUCAAUUUGAAACUCUAAAUCCACAUUCGAAACACAUUCAGCUCGUUUAGUAACCAAUUCAUCAUCGACUUUCUGAGUUUCACAUAUUUGAUGAAUGAAUAAUUUGGCUUUUAAUUCUGCUACUAACACAUUAUCGGAUGAAACGGACAAGUGUACAUUCAUCGAUCGCAAAGCAAACAGUGACUUGCCACUUAAAGCAUCGGCAACCACGUUAGCCUUUCCCGGGUGAUAGUCAAUGACGAGCUCAUAAUCUUUCAACAAUUCAAGCCAACGUCUUUGUCGCAGAUUCAAAUCUCUUUGAGUCAUCAAAUAUUUAAGGCUUUUAUGAUCCGAAUAUACAUGACAUCUCUCUCUAAACAAGUAAUGUCGCCAUAUUUUCAAAGCAAAUACGAUGGCAGCUAAUUCAAGGUCAUGGGUCGGAUAGUUUUUUUCAUGUGGCUUCAAUUGCAUCGACGCGUAAGCUACAACUCGACCCUCUUGCAUCAAUACACAACCCAGCCCAUGUAAGGAUGCAUCACUGUAAAUGACAAACUCUUUACCGGAUUCGGGCUGCACUAACACUAGAGCUUCAGUCAAAUAAGUUUUCAGUUGGUCGAAACUUUUCUGGCACUUUUCUGACGAUUCGAACUUAAUAUCUUUCUGAAGUAGCUUCGUCAUUGGUGUGGCUAUCAUCAAGAAACCUUUUACAAACCGUCUGUAGUAACCGGCAAGUCCCAAAAAGCUCCGAACUUCAGUAACAUUUCUCGGGGGCUUCCAAUCGAGUAUGGCCAAAAUUUUGCUCGGAUCAACUCGAAUACCCGAUGCGGAUACCACAUGUCCCAAAAAGCUAACUUCUCUCAACCAGAACUCAUAUUUACUGAAUUUCCCGUAUAACUGCUUGUCUCGUAAAAUCUGUAAUACUAAUUUCAGGUGCUCGGCAUGUUCAGCUUCAUCGCGCGAAUAAAUCAAGAUGUCAUCUAUAAACACCACUACAAACCGGUCUAAAUACUAUCUAAAGAUUCGAUUCAUCUAGUCCAUAAAUACCGCAGGGGCAUCAGUGAGCACAAACGGCAUCACUAAGAACUCGUAGUGACCAUAUCUCAUUCUGAAAGCAAUUUUAGGUAUAUCUGAGUCUCGAACUCGCAACUGAUAAUAACCCGAUCUCAAAUCUAUCUUUGAAAACACAGAUGCUCCCUUCAACUGAUCAAACAAAUCAUCAAUACGCGGUAACGGAUAUUUGUUCUUUAUUGUCACUUUAUUUAAUUGACGAUAGUCGAUGCACAUUCUCAUGGUUUUAUCUUUCUUUUUUACAAACAAUACUGGUGCACCCCAAGGUGAGAAACUCGGUCGAGCGAAACCUCUAUCCGUCAACUUUUGCAAUAGAGUUUUCAAUUCCUUCAAUUCCGUUAGUGCCAUACGAUACGGAGCCAUCGAAAUUGGUGUAGUCCCAGGUAUAAGUUCAAUGCCAAGUUCUACCUCCCAAACAGGUGGCAACCCCGGUAAUUCCUCGGGAAAAACAUCCGGAUACUCACAAACCACUGGUACUGAUUCAAGCUUCUUUUCUGAUUCUUUACUAUCAAGUACGUACGCAAGAUAUGCUUCACACCCCUUUUUUACAUAUUUCUGAGCCAACAUCGAGGAUAUUACUGCUGGUAAUCCGUUCAAAUCAGUAGACUCUAUUCGGAUUAUCUCAUCAUUUGCACAUCUCAAAUCAAUAGUCUUUCUUUUGCAAUUCACAACUGCAUCAUGUACGAUCAACCAAUCCAUACCAAGAAUAACAUCAAAUUUAUUAAAUGGUAAAAACAUCAAAUCGGCCGGAAAACAGGAACCUCGAAUUAUCAAGGGAUAUUUCUUGCACACUUUAUCGACUAGCACAUAUCGAUCCAAGGGAUUUGACACUCGGAUCACGAACUCAGUAGACUCAACAGGUAGAGUCUUACUGGAUGCUAAAGUCUCACAUACAUAUGAAUGAGUAGAACCAGGGUCAAUCAAAGCAAUCACAUCAGUAUCAAAGAGAGUGAAUGUACUGGUAAUAACAUCAAGCAAAGAAGUAUCCUCGUGUACGCGAAUAGCAUAAGCUCUAGCAGAGGCACGAGCCUCGGAUCUGGUCGUAGCAUCUCUAGACCCUCUCUGACCUUCACUAGCAUUCCCUGUAUUCCUAGGUGGUCUACCUCGAACUGUAGGAGUACUCGGUCUCCCACUCUGAUUUACAUUUUGCUCUGACAAUCUCGGGCAGUCUUUGAUGAAGUGGUCGGAUGAUCCACAUCUAUAACAAGAGCGAUCAUGAAAUCUACAACUCUCUCAAUGCCAUUUUCCACAAAACUUACACUCGGUCCUAUCCCGACGAUCAUUUCCAACACUGGCAACUGAAGUGGCUCUCGUACUCAUAGGAGAUCGAUCACGGUCUCGUCUGGAAAAGCCCGAAGUGUUCUUAGAUCAGCCCGAGUCCUCUCAAAAUUUCUUAGAUGAUUGCUGAAAAGGCUUUCCCGAAGAUCUUUUACGAAACUCUCCAGCUCCAACAUCAGCUUUCCUUUUUUCUUUACUAAGCUCCUCGGCUUUGCAAGCUCGCUCAACAAGUACUACGAACUCUCUGAUUUCGAGAAUGCCAAAAAACAUUUUAAUAUCUUCAUUUAACCUGUCCUCGAAGCGUUUACACAUAAUAGCCUCAGACGAUACACAUUCCCGAGCAUAUCUACUAAGUCUGACGAACUUUCGUUCAUAAUCAGUAACUAACAUGGAACCCUGUUUAAGUUCAAGAAAUUCUUUUCGUUUCUGAUCGAUGAACCUCUGACUGAUAUACUUUUUUCAGAAUUCAGUUUGGAAGAACUCCCGCGUCACCCGCUCUCUGGGUACAAUAGAAACCAAUGUAUUCCACCAGUAAUAGGAAGAAUCACGUAGCAAGGAUAUAGCACAUUUCAAGCAUUCAUCGGGUGUGCAAGAUAGUUCAUCAAGUACCCGAAUAGUGUUGUCCAACCAAAAUUCAGCUUGCUCGGCAUCAUCACUGUCGGUAGCUUUAAAUUCAGUAGCCUCGUGCUUUCAAAUUCUGUCAACCAGGGGCUUAUUCAACCUCAUUUGAUCCCUUACCGGAGGCAUCAUGGGUGCAGGGGGCGUAUUAUUCGGGAGUGGGGGUUGUGGAGCAGUCAUAUUAGUUCGAAUGUAUUGGUUGAACCAAUCAUUCAUCACACUAUAAAAAGCCUAUCUAGCCUCAUCGUUUUGAUUGCUCGCAAUAGGUUGAGAGUCCAUCGGCGCUGUCCUAUGCGCGGGAGCAGGCGCUACACUCUCAAUAUUAUCAGCUACCGCUCGAUUGGGAUCGGGAUCCAUUACUAUACGAAAAUACAUUUUUAACUUUCAGAAAUCGUCACACUAUCGUUUAACACCAUAUGGCAUGUAUAGCUAGACUCAUACAUGCUACGUUAGUCCUAGAAUUGACUAAACCGUAACUCUGAUACCAAUAGAAUGUAACACAUUUAACCCGUACCUGUCGCCGGAGGGUUAAAGAGUAUUACCAUACAAGCAUGAAAUUUCAGAUAACUUUAUUUGAAUAACUUCCGUUGGCACACCUAUAAAAGAGUCAUCUCCAGGUAAUGGGUAUAUUGAUUCAUUCUUAAGUUCGAUUCACCUCAAACAUUGAAAACAUUAAUCGAAUAUCAACCACAUAUUCACAUUAACUAUGUGGAAUACAUAUAGUAAAUUAACAAGCCAUUUUCGCAUGGCUAUACAUAUAUACAUCAUUAAAAAGAUACAUAUUUAACAACAAAAAGUCAAGCCUAUACAUGCCAUUAUCAAAUUUUAACUACUAGAGUACCGAAUGGGCUUAGAUAGUGUGGACGACUUCGACUGUGAGAUCCUCGAGACCGUAGCUAACAAACGAGAUCUAUAAAACAGAGAAUUAAGAGCAACAGAGUAAGCAUUUCUAUGCUUAGUAAGUUUUAAGCAUUUAAAACAAUUAAAAAACUUGUCAUUAAAAUCGAACAUUAAGCAUCACAAAAUUCGUAUUCAAAUUGUAAAUCAUUUAGCCGAUUAUACAUAAGUACACUAGUUAUAAGACCUAUUGGCCGAAUAUAUAUAUGAAUACUCAAGAGAUUUCCAGCACAUAUUUCACUAUACUAUUUGGCUCAUACAAUUAAAUUUAGGCAUAUACUUUCAUAUAACGAUGGUCGUCGACCGAAUAGGCCAUUCUCUUAUUCGUAGAUACGAUAAUCAUCCACACAUAUAUAUUUAUAUAUAUAUCAUUCAUUGAUAAUAAUAAUUCGCUUUAAAAAUCAAUUUACGUAUGAGAACAUAAUACGUACCUGGCCAUCUUAAUGUAUCAUACAUAAUCAAUAGUGGUUUCCUCGAAUAUUCGGAUUCAUAAUCUUACUCGAAUCACCGGCGUUAAGCUUGCUAGGUUUUAAAACCCGAAUCUAGCUACUAGCACAAAGCCUGCGGGACUUUAGGACCGGAUAUAUUCCAGCAUGUAACCUGCAAACCUCAAGUCCGGAUAUGUUUCUAGCACGUAGCCUGCGGACCUCAAGUCCGGAUAUGUUUCCAGCACGUAGCCUGUGGACCUCAAGUCCGGAUAUGUUUCCAAUUAUCAUGCAUUCUUAGUCAUAUUUGAACACAUCUCAUUCGACUUAUCACUUUAGUAGUCAUUUGCUAUAUUCGGAUAUAAGCUAAAUAUGUAUAUCAUCAUUCACUAUUCGGCUCAAGAGUCAUACAUAAUAUCACAUAUUUAUUUCACCAUUCAAGCUUAAACCCAAAGUGACCAUUAGACUAUAAGUCAUAUACAUGAAUUAUUUAUCUCACAACCUAAUUUAAGUACAAACCAAAAGAUCGCAAUUCACCUAGUAUACUCGUAUAGAGGCAUCAUCAAUUAUAUAAUAAAGGAGGCUACUCAAAACUUACCUCGGAUAUGUUUGAACAGUUAUGGAUAGACUACUCGAUUGCUUUCUAUUUUCCCCUAUCUGAUUUCGACCCUUUUUGCUCUUGAGCUUGAUUUAAAACAAAUAGAUUUAUUCAAUUACUUAUCAAUUAAGCAAUUUAAUUUAAUACCUGUAUAUCAUAUAUUUAAGGUACAAAUGACCUUACUAACUAGCUAUUUAAACAUCAUACAUAUGCCCUACUCAUGCACAAACGAACAUAUUACUAGGCUACAAUCAACAACUACAUUUAUCCCUAUAUAAUAGAUUAAAACUAUCAAGGAACAUUUUACUAACUUAUUACCUUGCAUAUUCUAAUUUCAUAAACUAAUUUAUGAAUUUCAUAAACUAAUUUACUAAAUCAAUGUAUAAUAAAUUUUAACUUAACAAUUCUAUAACCACACAUGAUUAUCAUAUCUACCAUUUUGGCCGAAUACUUAUAAGAUUAGCAUUUUGUAAGUUUUCAUACCACUUCCAAAGCCAAAUAUCAUUAUAAAUUAAAAUAUACUUUCACACAUCUAUACAAGCUUACAAAACCACAUUUGAAUUCAUAUACCAUCAUCACUUAUUUAGCAGAAUAUACAAGAUCAAACAUAUCUUUACAAAUAUAUAUAUACCUAUGUGUCCGAAUUUACAAGUUCAAUUGGAACACCACAUAAAUACUUACCUAUAUGAUCGGAUAUACCAAAUUCAUUAUAUCAUUACAUAAGUACAUACCUAUAAGACCGAAUAUACAAGGCUCAAUAUAUCAUCACAUAUGGCUAGUUAUUACUAAACUAAAGCCACCAUAUUUUUAUCCCUUAAGUCACACCCAAAAAUUACAUUCGGCAUUUCUCAUCCAAAAUUUUACAAAUCUUCAAAAUCACUUACAAGCUCAUUUAUAAAACAUAUAAAGCAUUAAAAUAAUUUUUUAUCAAAAAUCUAGCAUGACCGAUUACCUAUUUUUCUCCCAAAAUCCAAAUUCGGCAUACCCUAUAAACCAAAUACUAGCCUCAACUUUUAAGCUAAAAUAACAAGCAACUUAACACAUUAAACAUUAGUAACAUCUUCCCAAAAACUUAUCAAAAUAACACAAAAUUUAGCACUUGCCGAAUGGACACUUGUUCAUUGAUUCAUAAAUUUAAACCAUGGGUUAGCUAUGCUAUGUAUGUAUCAAUUUAAUUUCACAAUCAAUUUCAAAGCAAAUUUACAUUACAUACCUUUAAAUGGAGAUAACCAUCGCCGAAUGCCUUGGCUUCUUCUUCAAAAAUUUUCUUUCUCAAAUUCGGCAAAAUGAAGAAAGAAGAUGAACAUCCAUUAUUUUAUUUUAUUCAUCUAUAUUAUUAAACAUAAAGCCAUUUAGCUAAUAAUUAAUACAUAUUUUAAUAUAAAAGUAUCAUCAUGGCCGGCCACUAUAAACAAAAUGGAUAUUUGACAUGCAAGCCCAACCUUUUUAUAACAUGCUUUAAUAGGCCACUUUUAAAUUUACCUAUCACAUUUCAAAAUUUUCUCACAUAAGUCCUAUUUAAUAAAUUUCACAUACAAAUGACAAAAUUAAAGCUUGAAACUUUCACACAUGCAUGUACACAUACAAUAACCAUAGAAUAUAACGGUUAAUUACUUUUAUGACUCGAUUUUGUGGUCCUGAAACCACUUUCCGACUAAGGGCAAAUUAGGGUUGUCACAGGUCUACCCCUCGAAGGGGCAUUACUUGUUCUCACAUCUUGUUUUUUGUCUUUAUCAUCCAUUUCAGAACAAUUCUGGAUGAAAUAGUCUAAUGAACCACACUUGAAACAACCUCUAUCAUUUCCUCGGCACUCACCGAAAUGAUGCCUACCACACUGCGAACACUUCGACUUAUUUGGCUGAGCACUACCAACACUCGCGAUAGAAGUGGUUUGAGCUUUAGAAGCCAUGUACUACUUUUUCUUACUUCUACUCAAGAAUCCCAAUGAAUCAUUCGAUUAAGUAGGAAACUUUCUCAACCUCUUAGACGAGGUCUGAUGUGAUUUAUCCAUCUGUAUUUUCUUAAGUCACGAGACUCCGUAUCAGCUUUUCUCUUCUCUUUUGCCAAUUCUUCUGCCUUGCAAGCUCUUUCAACAAGCAUCACAAAUUCCCUUAAAUCUAAGAUGCCAACUAAUAAUCGAAUGUCUUUGUUCAAUUCGUCUUCAAAUCUCUUGCACAUGAUAGCUUCGGUAGAUACGCACUCCCUAGUGUAUUUGUUGAGCCUCACAAACUCACAUUCAUGCUCUGUCAUUAUCAUUCGGCCUUGCUUUAAUUCUAAAAAUUCCUUCCUCUUCUGAUCUAUAAACUUCUGACUAAUAUAAUUCUUUCGAAAUUCCUUUUGGAAAAAAUCCAAUGUAAUCCUUUCCCUUGGUACAACUGACACAAGGGUGUUCCACUACUAGUAGGCCGAGUCUCGCAAGAGUGACACAACACACUUCAUGCACCCUUCAGGUGUGCAAGACAAUUCAUCGAAUACCUUAAUGGUAUUUUCUAGCUAGAACCCUGCCCUCUCUAGGUCAUCAUCUAUAUUUGCUCUAAAUUCCUCGACUCAUUACUUUUGAAUUGUGUCAAUCAGAUGUUUCUCCCUUCUAAUAAUCUCUAGGCUUGAGGAGCUAUGGGGGCAGGCUGGGGGAUUGGAGGGGGUGGACGACAUGGAGUGUUCGGGUUUGCACGAACAAACUCCGAAUACCAUGCGUUCAUAUGUGGAGAUAGGCUUCUUUAGCCCCUCUGUCCUGACUAAAUGUCACGGGCCCACUCUCGACUGGAGCGAUCCCUUCAGCGGAAGCUGAUGCAUUACUAUCUACAUCGUCUGCCACUGCUACGUCAGGAUCCAUUUACUAUAUAAAAACACAAUUUAAAUAUCCAAGAGUCGUCACACUAUCACAAUGUAUUUAUGGCUUGUAUAGAGAGACUUGUACACUCGCUACGUUAGUCUAAGAAUCAACUAAAUCGUAGCUCUGAUACCACUAAAUGUAACACCUCUUACCCGAGUUUGACAUCAGAACAGGAUACAAGGUGUUACCGACUUGAACACAUACAUACAAACAUUAUUGGGUUAUAAAAUUUUACUCGACUUUAAAACUUUCAAACUUUCUCUUAGUAACCCCUAAUAUAAACCUACAAGGCCCAAAAUGCGCUUUGAAAAUGGUUGGGGAAUAAACUAAACACUUUAGAUAACUUUAUAAAAUUUCAAAGCAAACAGGGGCACAUGCCCGUGUGUAUUCUUAACAUGGCUAUGUUGAAGCCCCGUGUGGCUCACACGGCCUGAACAUAUCGGGACACGCCUGUGUCCCUAGCUCGUGUGAAUUUAUUUCUCGAUUAGAACCUAUAGGGGUUUUCAUAGGGCUUGGCGCAUGGCCAUGUCCAUUGUCCGUGUCCCCCACACGACCAUGACACGCCUGUGUCUCAGCCCACGUACAAAAACCUUGACAUUCUAUUUCUGACGUCAGCAACCCUUUAGGGGUAUACGCCCAUCGUACACGCUCGUGUACCAGGCCUUGUCCUCCACACGGUUGAGACACAUGGCUGUGUCUCUGCCCGUGUGAUUACUACUGAGCAUUCUGUUUUGCUAAAUUUAAAUGCAAGGGACACACGGCUUGACUACAUGCCCAUGGGGCAAACCGUGUGUCACACACGGUUUAGACACACGCUAGUGUCUCUGCUCGGCUGGGCAAAAACAAGGCUAUCUACCAAGCCUUUUUGCCACCUUUACUUGUUCCAACCUACACAACAUCAAACAUAUCCAAUCCAACCAUAAACACCAAUAACCAAAAUAGCCACAACCACAAAAAUUUUCAUCGAAUGCAUUUAAUGGUAAUCAAUAUUAGCCAACAUCAAUGGCCUAUACAAAAUGAAUACCACAUCCAUAUGAGCCAACACAUGUGGCUAAAAUAACAUGACACUAAACAAAACGAACUAGUCCCUAUACAUGCCAUACUCAAAACAUUUAAACUAACUAUACCAAAAGCUUCAGGUGAUAAUGUGAUCGAUGCCUCCGACGUCCCUUGAUUCUUGAUGCUAGUUUGGCGGCACUAUAAGAAAAUAGAAAAAAGAGGGAGUAAGCAUAAGGCUUAGUAAGUUACAAGUAAAUAAUCAACAUUGCGUUACCAAGUAACAUCAUACUCAUAACAUAUCAUACACUUGCACAAGAUUCUUGAAUGACUAUAGACAUGACUUACUCAUUUCAUCCUUACUAUUCAUAUAGAUAACCCGAGCUCAUUCUUAUGAGUUUUGUGUAGGUACCUGUACCACUUACAACAUAAUCAUAACUUUUCUCAAUCAUGAUAUAAUCUUUAAAUUACCCGAUAAGCCGAUUGGAAUAGUAAAUGGAUACCCGAUAAGCCUCAUACAAAAGGGUAAGAUGCCGAUGCCAUGUCCCAAACAUGGUCUUACACUAGCCCACAUGUAGAGGCCGAUGCCAUGUCCUAAACAUGGUCUUACACUAGCUCACCUAUCAAUGCUGAUGCCAUGUUCCAAACAUGGUCUUACACUGGCUUACAUAUCGAGGCUGAUGCCAUGUCCCAAACAUGGUCUUACACUAGCUCUCAUAUCAAUGCCAAUGCCAUGUUCCAAACAUGGUCUUACACUGGCUCACAUAUCGAGACCAAUGCCAUGUCCCAGACAUGUUCUUACACUAGCUCUCCUCUCAAUGUUGAUGCUAUGUUCCAAAUAUGGUCUUACACUGGCUCACAUAUCGAGGCCGAUGCCAUGUCCCAAACAUGGUCUUAUACUGGCUUUCAUAUCAAUGCCGAUGUCAUGUUCCAAAUAUGGUCUUACACUGACUCACAUAUCGAGGCUGAUGCCAUGUCCCGAACAUGGUCUUACACUGGCUCACAUAACCCUAGUAUCACGGCAUAGAUAUUCGAUCUAUUCCUACGGUUCAACAGGGAGUCUCACCACAUCAAAUUUCGUCAUGUAUAUUUGUAACAAAAUCAAGCAUUUCAUUCAAUGUCAAUAAUUUAAUGCAUAAUAACAAUAGUGUUGUAAUAUUUACGUGCAAUUUACCUCGGUAUACAAAAGGUAGGCGGCUAAUUGGAUUUAGUCUACUAGCUUGGCCUUCCUCCGAUCUAGGCCCGGAUUUCGUAUUUCUUGGUCUAAAAUGAUAAAAAUUCACUAAUUUAAUAAUCAUAUUAAUCAAUGCAUUUCAUAAUUCAUAUUUUGGCAAAAUAACCAUUUUGCCCCUAGACUUUUACAAAAUUAUGAUUUUACCCCUAGGCUCGUAAAUCGAUUUUUAUCAAAUUUCCUAUUUAUUCAAACCUAGGCGAACCUUUUAUUACACUUAUGGCAUCUCACAAUUUCGAUUAUUUCACACAAUUACUACCUAUUUUAUAACCUUUACAAAAAGGUCCAUUUUAGGUGUUUUUCAUGAACACCACUUCACAAGAGUUACUUAUUUCACAAGUAUAACUCAUUUUCUUCCAUAAAGUUCUAGCUCAUAACAUAAAUAAUUUCAUGGAAAACCUUAAACUCUCAACCAUAUUGCAAAAUAGUCCCUUCAUUAGCUAAAUUAAGCUAUAAGGGGCCCAAAAGUAUAAAAAUUAUCAAGAAAAGUCAUCAAAAUCACUUACUUAUGAGAGAACUUAAUGGAUGAUAGUUUCAAGCUUCAAAAACCCCUUUCUUGCUGAUAUUUUUGGUGGAGAAGAUGAAUGGUAAAAAGAUGAAGCCCUUUUGUUUUAUUUUAUCUUAUUUCUAGUCAAAAUAGCUACCAACUUCACCUAAUUUUGAAUUUUCUAUUCUUUUUUGUCUCUAUGGCCGGCCACCCCUAUUGAAAUGGGUCUUUUUGCCCUUUAAAGACUCCUAAUUAUGAUUCUUUUAUUAUUUAUGCUAGAAAAACAAAACUUUUUCCCUUUAUACAAUUUAGUCCUUUUCGCAAUUAAGCUCACAAUCACUAAAAUUAAUUCAUCAAAAAUUUUAUGCAUCCAUGUAAACAUGCUAUAACACAUAACACAUAAAAUACUAUUAAAAAUAAUCUCUCUGGCCUCGGAUUAGUGGUUUCAAAACCACUAUUCUGACUAGGCCCAAAAUCAGGCUGUUAUAAGGUCCCAGAAGCCAUGCCUCAUUUUAGGUGUUGAUGGAUUUGCCAUUACCUACCCUCUAACCCGUACCUUCUUCUAAAGGGCCUCUCGUGCUCCAAAUGCUUCUCCAGCCAUACGAUGGGUGAAAUCCUAAAACUUCUGUUAAAAAUUCACUAUUUUAGUAAUAUUUAGCUUUCAUGACUCUAACAAGUAAAUAAUCUGGGAACAUGAUUAAUUUCCAACCCUAUUUAGUAAGCAAAGUAAUAUUAAAUUUAGCUUCUAAACCACCCUGCGCUUCCAGCCUGCAUAGGCUUUUCCACUCGCACCAAUGUAUCAUUUUUCCUGUUUUGGAAAACUUACUAAUUAUUUUUUCAAGCUCGCGACAUAAAGUUUAGGGUAACAAAAAAAAAUUGCAUGGAAUAAACUGGUAUGGCUUGUAAAACUGACUUAAUGAAAACUUCUUUACCUCCAAGCAAUAAGUACUGGAUACUCCAAUUUUCUAAUCUUUUUUGCGAAUCUGUCUUUGAAAUUAACGAAAGCUUUUUUUUCCAUCUUCCAAUCAUAGUUGGGAGACCUAAAUAUUUUUUUUCGGAUUAUUCAAACUUCUACUCCAAGGGCCACUCCAAUCUAAUCUUUAAUUUCAUUCUUCACGUUGUUACUAAAAUAAAUAAGGGAUUUAUCAAAAUUAAUUAGUUGGCUUGAAACCCCUUCGUGUUCUUUUAUAAUCAUUUUAAUAGUGUUGGCUCCUUCCAAACUUGCUUCCCCAAUUAGGAUAUUGUCAUCUACAAAAAAUUGUUGAGUUAGGGCUAAACCACUUCUCCCAACCCUUACCCCUUUAAUAAUUCCAUCAUUUUUUACUAGUUUCAAUAGUGAGGAGAAUUCUUCCGCACAUAAUAAGAAACAAUAUGGGUUGAGUAGAUCCCCCUAUCUUAAUCCACUUGAAGGUCUGAAUUUUUCUACUCUUGUCCCAUUAAGGAUAACUAAAUAUUCCACUAUUCGAACACAACUCAUUACUAGACUCAACCAUUCUUCGCAGAAACCUAUUCGUCUCGUAACUUUUUCUAUGAAAUUCCACUCCACCCUGUCAUAUGCUUUACUCAUGUCCAAAUUUAAUGCAAAGUAACCCCAUAACCCUACUUUCUUAUGCUUUAAAAUCUAAAGUAUCUCAUAUGCAAUAAGGACAUUAUCCGUGACUUGCCUUCUAAGAAUAAAAGUUGCUUGUGCUUUGUCAAUACAAUUGUCCAACACCAUUCUGAAUCUAUUCUCCACAGCUUUAGAAAUAAUUUUACACACCACAUUGCACAAACUAAUAGGCCUGAAUUGUGUCAUGUUGUCCAGUUAGCUAACUUUUGGGAUAAGUACAAUAUUGGUGUAAUUGAUUUUUUCGAUUUCCUUUCUCCUGUUUAAGAUGUCUAAGAAAAAUUUAUAAAUUUCAUCACCCAAGAUGUGCCAAUACUUUUGAUAAAAUAAUGCGGGGAAACCAUCCACUCUAGAUGCUUGUAACGGGCAUAUGUUUUUUACUGCCAAAGUUACCUCUUCCAUUUGAAAAUCCUCCAACAAUGUCCUACUCAUGUUUUCCUGAAUGCACUUUGUAAUACCUGAAAGCGCCUCUCAUCAUUCCAUGUAUUUGAAGCCGUAAACAAUUCCUUCAAGUAUUCCGCCACAAUCCCCAAUUUCCUUUCCUCAUCAGUGAUCUAUUCUACGUUCGGUUCUUUCAAUUUUUUCACUUUGUUUCUUCUCUUUUUUUGAUUUGCGAAGUUGUGAAAAAAUGUUCGUGUUUCGGUCACCAAAUCUAAGUCAAUUUUUCCUAGCAUGUUGUUCCCACAUUAAUUAUUCUCUAUCAGCUUCCAAAUUUAAAGCCAGUUUGACCUCUUCCAUCUUUGCGAACGUCUCAUCAUCUGGGUCUAUAAUAUUUAGCUCCUCUAAUAUCUUAUUCAAGAAAACAAAUUCCCUUCUUUUAUUUGUUGUAAAUUGACUCAUCUAUUUGCUUAGUACCUUUCUUAGUUUACGCAGCUUCAUACAAACAUCUUUCUCGUUCCCCUCCCAAAAAUUUUUUAUUCGACAUUCACAUUCUUCUUCUAGCACCCAACUUGCAUUAAAUUUGAAGCUCCCAUUCUCACAAGAUUUAUUGCAUUCUACCCCUAUAUUUACCAAUAUCGAGCAAUGAUUAGAUAUAGCAUGCAUUAGAUGUCUGAAAGAAUACUUUGGGAAGGCCUCCUACCAUGCUUGAUUAGCCACUCCUCUAUCUAACAUUUCACGAACAUUAUUUUCUGGCAAUCUACCUCUUUCCCAUGUGAACCACCUCGCCCCUAAACUCUAAAUCAUUAAGGUCACCUUUUCAAAAACCUCACGAAAUCGGGCCAUGUUUCUCUCACUUCUUAAUCUGCCACCCCUUUUCUCAAAUGAAUACAUGAUUUCAUUAAAAUCUCUCAUGAUUAUCCAUAGUAUACCCCGACAAUUCCCUAACCUCUGUAGGAGGUUUCAAGAUUCCCUUCUAUUUUGUUCCUUUGAAUAACCAUAGAAACCUGUUAAUCUCCUUGUUGGCGCUCCGUCUUUUUCCAUGACAACUACAUCGAUAUGAUUGGUUGAAUAACUUCACAACUGUACAUCAUAUUCUUCUUUCCAUCCAAUUGACAAUCCACCUUUGGAACCUUACGCACCCAUGUCUAUUCCAUUGGUAAAUCCACAUCUCACUCUAACUUUUUUCAUUCUUUUGUUACUUAACUUUGUUUCUAUUAGAAACAAAAUUUGGGGUAGUACAUGUCUCACCUUAUUCCGUAGGCGAUUAACCGCUUGUGGAUGCCCCAAUCCACGAAAGUUCCAACUUAGGAUUUUCAUUACGCCUAGUCGGAACGCUAAUUAGUUGCCACCGAUCUCUUUUUAAAUUGAAUCAAAGCACUCAAGUCAUUCCCCUCACACGAAUGGUCAUUCCUUAUUCUUUAUCUUUUUUUCAUUCACCAUAUUUGAUUGGUGUAUCCUCCAUUAUGGCCUCUCUUUGUCCCAUAGACCAACUCCUUGAGAAAAAUCCUCACCAUCUAUUCUUCUUCUUUCCCAUCCAUAUAAUUCCAUUCCAACAAAGCUAUUACCCUUCUUGAUUCUAGUUGGCAAUUCCUCCCUUAACCAUAUAAUUUUGGAAAUCAACUCAUUUCUAGAUGGUGCUAUUAGUGAGAGGUUCCAUCCAAAUAUAACCUUUUGAAUUCUGAUUGUCUUUAGUACUGGGUAAAAACCCUACCCAUGACCUAAUUUCCAUAAAGAAAAUUGGAAAUACGUAUAGCCCUGUUGUUCUUGUAUCAACAUCAGCUUUUUCUUUCUCUUCAAAGCUAGCCGUACGUCAAUUUUUACCCUAAAUCUCAUAUAUCUUUGUUCUCCUUAUGAAAUCAAAAGAGCAUCGCAGUGUAUAAAUUGUCCAAAAAAAUCCCCUAAUUUCCUUGCUAAACCUUCUGAUAUUACUCCAUAUUGUAGAUUGUGAACUUGGAUCUAAAAAUAAGAAUAAAAUAAUAGGAUCUGCUUUGGAUCUUCCCCGAUAUUCAAUUGGUGGAAAAUUAAUAGAUGCCUGUUAGAAGUCCAUGACAUUCCAUCCAAUACUAUUUUAAUAUCCAUUUCAUAGAAGAAUCAAAAUAAGUAUCAUUUUUUUCCCUAAAUCUGUGAUUAUAACUCCUCCUAACGGAUGCCAUAAGUCCACGAUAGUUUUCUUGAGAGACGGAAAGUGAAUUACGCAAUCUGUAAGAGCUCUCCUGACUAAACAAAAUCAACGAUCUUCAUCAUCAUUAUUUGGCUCUCUUUCAUAGGGAAUCGACUCUUCUUCUUCAUUCUCCAAACUCAGAUUUGCGAUGUUUGCCUCCAUCUGUGGUAAGCUUUUUUGUAGGUAAACCGUAGCAAACGAAAGAACUUAUUAAACUUUAAGAGUAAUUGAGAGUUAAAAUUCUUAAUAUUAAGUUAACAUUUAUAUAUUUUAUAAAUUUAAAUAAAGAUAAUUUAUUUAUUAUAUAAUAAUAUUGAUGGAGAGAGCUUGAAUUUGAACGAAUCUACCAAAACUAGAUGGGCAGCUUAAUUCUAUUUAGAUAGUAUUGUGCAUAAAUACAAUUUAUAUAUUUAUAUUAUAUUUAAAUAUUUUUUAUGUCAUGUUCAAAAUAUUUAAUAUUUACAUAACUUGAUAAUUUAUAAAAUUUGAAAUAUUUAUGCAUAUUUAAAAAUAUAUUUUUAAGUAAAAAAAAUCAUCGUAUGAUGUAAUAUGUAUAUAUUGAUUUGGUAAUCAUUAAUUUUCAUUAUUCAAUUUAGCUUUUCGUCCUUAAAAAAGGAGUAAUCAUAAAUGAGGGAGAAGAAUAUUCCUAAUGCUAACCUUUCACCCUUCGUAUAUUUAGAUCUAUCCAUAAAGUUGUUACCCUUUAUGCUUUGCUUUUUCAUACUUUAUAAUACCAUCUUUACUGUAAUAAAUAUAUAGUUCCUAUUUUUAAAAAAAAUUAUAAUUGGAUGACAUCUUUAAUAAAAUUUAAAUAUUUUUAUUGAAAUAAUAUAUUAGCUAAAAUUUCUACUGGUACUAAAAAACUUUUAUUAUUAUUAUUUUUAAUACUUACUUACUAUUAAAAUUAUUUAACUUUUUUGAGUUUAAUCUUUUAAAUAAAAGAAGGAAAAAGAAAACCCCAUCAAAACUCAAAAGUUACUUUGUCCAAAUUCUGGUGUAAUAAUAAUAUGUUGGGAAUUUUUAUAGCUGAGCGGUAUCCAACACUUGUACCUUUAAAAUGAUGGGUGUCCAUGUGGUGGGAAGGGCACCAUCGCAGGCCUAGUUUUACAUGUUCAACACUUUAGCCCCCAGUCUAGCUUAAUGGGCUACUUCACUUUCUGGACUCUUAGCCUUGUCUCCUCCUCUGUUUAAGUUCUCACUGGUGGACUCUGGUGUCUUUUUUAGCCUUCAUGUUGGCAUCGCACAUGCUGCUCGGUCCCGGCAUUCUUCUCUCCCUCUUCUUCCUUCGACAAUGGCGCAACGAAGGGUUUUUAUAGGAUUGGGUUUUCGGACUUAAU